UAUGGUGCGGCUGUGUGAAUAUAGAAUAUAUAUAUAUAUAUACACACACACAUAUAUAUAUACAUAUAUAUAUAUAUAUAUAUAUAUAUAUAUAUAUAUUUGCAAGCAGAUGAGGUUAGAGCUCAUGGAGACAUACUAUAAAGGAGGGUUCUGUCCUGGGAAUACCACCCUUUUCCUUUCAAGAGUGUUUUUUCCUCUAGUGCAGUGGUCAACCUGUCUAAACACCAUCUCCCUGGCCUGCUCCCAAUUCUGUUCUUUAGCUUCACAGGGCUCACUCUCCCUAGGGCCCCUACGAUGCUGGGGAGGUGAGAACAGAGUGGCAGAGAUAGGAGAGGGUUGCUAGUUCAUCCAGAUUGGACCUCCCUGAAAGACCUCUGACCAGUGGCAAAGGCAUCCUUAAGGGGCUUAAGCAUGAGUGUGCAAGGCUGCCACACAUGCACACACAUAGUCAAACUUAAUUCAGACAAAUGCAAGAGCAAAUCCAUGUGCACUCCAGCAGUACCACCUCCUGACACUUACAGAUAUGAUGGUGCUCUGGCACACGCUGGUGCUCUGGCACACAUACCAGCUCACAGGGACUUAUGGACCCAUUCAUCUGAACCCAACAUUCCCCUCCCUUCUCACCUUGUCACUCAUGCACACAGAACUGUGUUCCCCUCUCCAGCCAACCACCUCCCCCGAGGGCUCACUGCCUUCCCCCUCCUCAGGAGUCUACAAGAGAAAAGGAGACUUCCUAGAUCCCCCACACAUUUCUUCUCUGUCACAGAACUGAUGCAGGAAGAAAAUAAAUACCCCAACAGCCAAAGGUGGCCACCUACGAUGACACCAGAAAGAAAUGAGGCCGCGUCUUCUCAGCUCCCCAGCUCCUAUAAAGAGGAGAAUGCAAAGCCUCCUGCACAGCCAGCCAAAACCUUCAGGCCCAGGGGUUUUGAGCCAAGCCCAUGGUGGAAAUCGGUCUUCAACUUAGAGAAACUGUCCUGCCCAAUGGACACUGCUUCCUCCCAAAUUGCUGAAGCUCAGUCUGCGAGAGAGCACGCUUUACACAGAAUGAAGAGUGCGGGUGAGGAUGGAUUUUUGUCUGUCUAGAUCUAAUGACACUGUUAACUGUAAAGUGCUGUGCACACUGAUGAUACUCUCUAUUGUAUUGUCUCUCUAGCUUUCUCCAGCCCUCCCUGUUAUUACCUGUCUACCUAUCACCUAUCUAUGUAUAUCUCUCAGGCUCCAUAAAGACAUCUGGUAGCUAUCAAUUUUCUCCUCCUUUUUAACAAACACAAAAGGUGUGAAUACAAA
rnacentral:lncRNA from 1 species